AACAGGAUUAGAUACCCUGGUAGUCCACGCCGUAAACGAUGAGUGCUAAGUGUUAGAGGGUUUCCGCCCUUUAGUGCUGAAGUUAACGCAUUAAGCACUCCGCCUGGGGAGUACGGCCGCAAGGCUGAAACUCAAAGGAAUUGACGGGGGCCCGCACAAGCGGUGGAGCAUGUGGUUUAAUUCGAAGCAACGCGAAGAACCUUACCAGGUCUUGACAUCCUCUGAAAACCCUAGAGAUAGGGCUUCUCCUUCGGGAGCAGAGUGACAGGUGGUGCAUGGUUGUCGUCAGCUCGUGUCGUGAGAUGUUGGGUUAAGUCCCGCAACGAGCGCAACCCUUGAUCUUAGUUGCCAUCAUUAAGUUGGGCACUCUAAGGUGACUGCCGGUGACAAACCGGAGGAAGGUGGGGAUGACGUCAAAUCAUCAUGCCCCUUAUGACCUGGGCUACACACGUGCUACAAUGGACGGUACGAAGAGCUGCAAGACCGCGAGGUGGAGCUAAUCUCAUAAAACCGUUCUCAGUUCGGAUUGUAGGCUGCAACUCGCCUACAUGAAGCUGGAAUCGCUAGUAAUCGCGGACCAGCAUGCCGCGGUGAAUACGUUCCCGGGCCUUGUACACACCGCCCGUCGCACCACGAGAGUUUGUAACACCCGAAGUCGGUGGGGUAACCUUUUUGGAGCCAGCCGCCUAAGGUGGGACAGAUGAUUGGGGUGAAGUCGUAACAAGGUAACC
rnacentral:rRNA from 1 species